AUAACCCAUGGAAACAUGGACUAAUACCGCAUAUACUCUUGCUACACAAGUGGCGUAGAGGAAAGGAGCGAUCCGCUUUACGAUGAGCCUGCGGCCUAUUAGCCUGUUGGUGGGGUAACGGCCUACCAAAGCUGCGAUAGGUAGCCGACCUGAGAGGGUGACCGGCCACAUUGGGACUGAGAUACGGCCCAGACUCCUACGGGAGGCAGCAGCUGAGAAUCUUCCACAAUGGACGAAAGUCUGAUGGAGCGACAUCGCGUGAGGGAUGAAGGCCUUCGGGUUGUAAACCUCGGAAAUUAUCGAAGAAUGAGUGACAGUAGAUAAUGUAAGCCUCGGCUAACUACGUGCCAGCAGCCGCGGUAAUACGUAGGAGGCAAACGUUGCUCGGAUUUACUGGGCGUAAAGGGUGAGUAGGCGGACUUAUAAGUCUAAGGUGAAAGACCGAAGCUCAACUUCGGGAACGCCUCGGAUACUGUAAGUCUUGGAUAUUGUAGGGGAUGAUGGAAUUCUCGGUGUAGCGGUGGAAUGUGCAGAUAUCGAGAGGAACACCUAUAGCGAAGGCAGUCAUCUGGGCAUUUAUCGACGCUGAAUCACGAAAGCUAGGGUAGCAAACAGGCUUAGAUACCCUGGUAGUCCUAGCCGUAAACGUUGUACACUAGGUGCUUCUAUCUAAAUAGGAGUGCCGUAGCUAACGUCUUAAGUGUACCGCCUGAGGAGUAUGCCCGCAAGGGUGAAACUCAAAGAAAUUGACGGGUCCCCGCACAAGUGGUGGAGCAUGUGGUUUAAUUCGAUGAUACGCGAAAAACCUUACCUGGGUUUGAAUUGUAAGAUGAAUGAUUUAGAGAUAAGUCAGACCGCAAGGACAUUUUACAUAGGUGCUGCAUGGCUGUCGUCAGCUCGUGUCGUGAGAUGUUGGGUUAAGUCCCGCAACGAGCGCAACCCUCACCCUUUGUUGCUACCGAGUAAUGUCGGGCACUCUUAGGGGACUGCCUACGUUCAAGUAGGAGGAAGGCGGGGAUGAUGUCAAGUCCUCAUGGCCCUUAUGUCCAGGGCUACACACGUGCUACAAUGGCAAGUACAAAGAGAUGCGAGACUGCGAGGUGGAGCGAAACUCAAAAAAGUUGCCUCAGUUCGGAUUGGAGUCUGAAACUCGACUCCAUGAAGUUGGAAUCACUAGUAAUCGUAGAUCAGAACGCUACGGUGAAUACGUUCCCGGGGAUUGUACACACCGCC
rnacentral:rRNA from 1 species